UAUAAGAGCCGCAUGACUGCACCACCCUGUUUCAUUUCAUCAAUGAAACAAGAGUUUUACAGCAGUUGCUCGUGGAGGAGGACGACCGUGGCAGCGUUGCAAUGGCGGCUAACGGAGCAGAGGAAGGCGGCCUCAGUCCAAAAGUUUGAUGCAUGCUCGGUGUCUAGGAAUCGCAUCAGAACGAUGGUCAGAGCUGAACAUAGUUGGUGAAACUAGCUAGGAUCAAGAACUCACUAAAAAAAUGAGGCGAUUCACGACGGCGUCCAGCAGGCCUGCAUGUUGAACCCUGGGACGUGGAUAUCGAGUCGGACCAAGGGCUGGUGGGUCCCACCCGUUCCUACGAGUGGAGUUGCAGCGGGGAUACACAAGCUCGUUGGAUCCACUCGCUGCCGCUUCAUAUUCAGCUCUUCAUGGGCCGCGACUGCCGCUAUUCGUGGGCCGGGCUAAAUAACAUAUGGACCUUUGAACUACUUAUCUCCAUAUACGCAGAACAGAAAGGUGUUUCUUUCUUUUUUUCCCUUUUGUUACUCACAAGAAAAGGUGUUUCUUUUCCUUUACGUGAAAAAAAACAAACAUUUGCAAGGCA